UGGGGAAUUUUGGACAAUGGGGGAAACCCUGAUCCAGCCAUUCCGCGUGAGUGAAGAAGGCCUUCGGGUUGUAAAGCUCUUUCGGCAGGAACGAAACGGUCGUCGCUAACAUCGAUGGCUAAUGACGGUACCUGAAGAAGAAGCACCGGCUAACUACGUGCCAGCAGCCGCGGUAAUACGUAGGGUGCGAGCGUUAAUCGGAAUUACUGGGCGUAAAGCGUGCGCAGGCGGUUUGAUAAGACAGAUGUGAAAUCCCCGGGCUCAACCUGGGAACUGCGUUUGUGACUGUCAGACUCGAGUGCGGCAGAGGGGGGUGGAAUUCCACGUGUAGCAGUGAAAUGCGUAGAGAUGUGGAGGAACACCGAUGGCGAAGGCAGCCCCCUGGGUCGACACUGACGCU
rnacentral:rRNA from 1 species